rnacentral:tRNA from 1 species
GGAUUGCUGAGCGCAGUGGUAGCGCGUCCGCUUUGCAAGCGGAAGGCCCCGGGUUCAAUUCCCCGGUGUGUCCA